GAAAGAGCCUGUUCGGUGGGCUUCUGCUGCGGCCGUUCGGAGCGCUUCACGGUGACGCUAUUCGAGCGGCUUCUCCACCGACACGGUCAUCCAAUUCCUCUCGCCUCCCGUCCCCAUCCACUUCCCACAUACGCCCGUCGCUCUCUCUCGCUCCCUGUCCGCCGCCGCCGCUCCCUCGCUCCCUCGCUUGCGCCCGCUCUCCGCCGCCGGUCGGCUGUCGCCUCGCCCGCUCCGUCGCGCUCGCCCGCGCGCCGCCGCCGUCCCUCCCGCUCCGUCGCGCUCGCCCGUGCGCCGCCGCCGUCCCUCCCGCUUCUCCUCACCCCCUCCGUCGGUCGCGGUCGCUCCGGAUCCGCCGCCGGCGCUCCCUCCGGAUCCGCCACCGGCGCCGCUCCCUUCGCUCAAACGCUCCCUCGGUCGCGCCCGUUCUCCGCCGCUGGCGGGCCAUCGCGUGCAAGGACCUUCUCCCAGUCCGUCGCCCCCUCGCUCCCCUUCGCUCACAGG
rnacentral:lncRNA from 1 species